UACGUAGGUGGCAAGCGUUGUCCGGAUUUACUGGGCGUAAAGAGCGCGCAGGCGGUCGGAUAAGUCGAAUGUGAAAGCCCCCGGCUCAACUGGGGAGGGUCACGCGAUACUGAUCGACUCGAAGGCAGGAGAGGGUAGUGGAAUUCCCGGUGUAGUGGUGAAAUGCGUAGAUAUCGGGAGGAACACCAGUGGCGAAGGCGACUACCUGGCCUGUUCUUGACGCUGAGGCGCGAAAGCUAGGGGAGCGAACAGG
rnacentral:rRNA from 1 species